AUUGAGUAUAUAGCCUGAAAAUAGAGGGAAUCAGUGAAUAAAGCCCCCUAUAAUAGCGAAUAUGGCUCCUAUUGAUCAGACGUAAUGGAAGUGGGCUACAACAUAAUAUGUAUCAUGUAAUUACAAUAUCCAAUGAUGAGUUGGCUAGUACAAUGCUGGUCAAGCCUUCUACUGCAAAAAGGAAAAUAAACCCCAAGGCUCAGAGCAUUGCAGGGGAUCAUUUCGUAUUGCCGCCGUGAAGUGUAGCUAGUCAGCUAGAAACUUUGAUGCCAGUGGGAAUAGCAAUAAUUAUAGUAGCAGAGGUGAAGUAGGCUCGUGUAUCUACAUCUAUGCCUACUGUAAAUUUAUGGUGAGCCCAGACAGUGAAACCUGGGAAGCCAA